GUGAACUCUAAGCUGAAGCUUAAAAGAGUCAUCUAGGCCAAAGUAAAAGUGGCAGAGAAGAGCUCUAGGCUGGACAAAAGUAUAUUCCGAUGGCUGAAGAGAAGAGAGAGCAUGGUGCCUUCGAGAAACUGUGAAUGGUCCCCUAGGACUGAAACUGAGAAAAUUAAGAGGAGAAAAUGGAAAUCCAGAAAGGAAAAGCGGCUUGUGUCUCGAGGAACAUUUGGAUGGAGAGGAAGAAGACCCUGCAAAUUGCAAGCUGGCUGUCUGGAACCUUAACAGAGUGGAGAGGGGGCUGACCUUCAGACAGUUUCCUUCUGAUACAAAGACAUUUGCAUGAAGUGAUUCCCCAAAAGAUCUUGGAGAAAAGACCUUGGUUUCUUGUCUCCUCCCUUGCUCAGCUAAAGCAAAUGAGACUCUGGAUUGUUAAAAUAGCAACUUAACAUGGGUAAGUAAAACUACAGAAUGCAAAAAGAAAAGCUGUUUGAAGAUCCCAACCCCAAAAUGUUUCAAUUCUGUAAAUCUUUAAGCCAGGACUCAAAGCUCCACUUUCCUUUUUAAAAAAGGAAAGAGGCACACAGUGGUUCCCUGAUUUCUCUUUCACAGCAGCCAUGUGCCAGCAAGAAUGUUUUUGCUUCAUUCAUUAGUUUAUAGCUUAUCUCAUCCCAAAGUAUUUUGACAGUAGUGGGUAGCAGGCAGGAGAAGAAAUCAGAGUAAUGGGCAAAUGAAUGUCAGAUAAUAAGAAAAGCCAGGAAACAUCAGUAAACAGCAAGAAACAGUUGUUAUAAUGAGCUGCCUAGUAGCCAAAUCAGUGAGGAAACUCAAUCCAUUACCAGGCUUACGCUGCCCAUAAGAGAAAAAAUAUAUAUCUGAUGAUCAGAAGAAAAACAGAUUUUCUUUGACAUGAUGUGAAAAAUAAACCUUUAUUGUUUAAGACACUGAGUGAGAUUUGGGGGGCUUGUCUAUUGCAGCAACCAGCACUAAUUACCCUGACCAAUCCCCACUGCUUUACCUCCCCCAGCCUUCCACAGAUACUCAGUGUCUGUUGAAUGAAGAACUGAGCACCAACUCCACAUCAGGC
rnacentral:lncRNA from 10 species